rnacentral:lncRNA from 1 species
CUUAAUCAACUGGAACUCUAGAUGAAAUAAGGCAUUUGAUGAGCUGGCCCAUAUAACUGAAGGCAUAUCAUGGUCCAUAACAGCGUUCAGCCUAACAUGGUAUACAGUGGUCUGAUUUGAAACGCACACAGCACAGCUCACGAUCAGUAGACAAGGAACACCGCCUUAGUCCACUAGUUAGAACAGCAGGCGUAGUUCAUCAGUAGUACAACAAAGAUGUACAAUUUAGCUAGGAUGAAUCAACAUGGGCACUGACGCAGCAAUUCAAAACAUUUCAAAAACAGGAUCAGCACCCAACGGAGAUACUAUACACGUUCCAUGAUCCAUUCGGACUACCAACACAGCACAUUUUCAACAACCGGCUAACACUGGCGGGCGACUACCAACACAGGAAAAAUGUCAUCGUGCGAGAGAUUAGCUGCACCUUUGUAGAUCAGAACUCUGCUUCAGGAGGUGCACGGUAAUACGCGGGGACGGUAGCAGGGAAGAACAUUUGCCUCACACCUUCAGCUUUGAUGAUUGGGAAG